CCUACCUUCCUGUACCCCAGGGUGGGCGGUAAGACUCCCAUUAAACAGAUAAACAGAUGGAGAAACACCACCCCAAAACAUAACAAUGAUCUCGCAGUGUAUACUUGACUUCGCUCAUUUAUUUAUUGUUUUUUUUUUUGUUUGUUUUUGUUUUUGAGACAGGGUUUCAGUCACCCAGGCUGGAGUGCAGUGGUGCGUUCGCGGCUCCUUGCAGCCCCGCCCUCUCGGGCUCAGGUGAUCCUCCCAUCUCCGCCUCCCGAGUAGGUGGGACUACAGUAGUGUAUCAGCACACCCGGCUAUUUUUUUUUUUUUUUUUUUUUGUAGAGACAGGGUUUCGCCAUGUUGCCUAGGCUGGUCUCCAACCUGGUCUCCUGGGCUCAAGCGAUCCGCCCGCCUCGGCCUCCCACAGUGCUGGGAUUCCAGGCGUGAGCUACCGCGCCCGGCCUAUUUACUUUUCUUACUAAGCUGGGGAUCACCGUCGCCCUCGGCUUGGCAGGAAGGCGGGGGUGCAAGAAGAAAAGAGGUACAGAACACCCAGAGGUGCCCUCGAUUCCGUCUUGCACUUGCCCUUCUCCCACCGUCCAGCAAUAAAGCGAGAGAAACAAGUGCAGGAAACUGGCCGGCAGUCAUGGGAGAAGCCAAAAAGACAGGUGAGCAGCGCGUCCGCCUCCCGCGCACAGGUGAGGGCUCACUUCUGCCUGUCGGCGGCGGCACACACAGGAAAGAGCCAAGCGCGUGCACGCGGGCCCGCCCCUAGGCCUUGCGGCGGCUUCAGCUCAGGCCCUUGCUCUUCCUGGGGCGGCCGCGCUCCGCGGCUUCCCGGGCUGGGCUGCUGUCGCCGCUGUCGGGCCGGCGCCGCACGCGCCACUCCACGCGGUGGUCGGGCUCGAGCACGCGCGGCGUCGCCUGCAGCAGGAACUGGCCGCGGCGCUGGGUGACGCGCACGUCGGCGCGGGGGAGUUCAGUGGCAUGACCAGGGCUCACUGCAACCUUGAUCUGGGCUCAAGUGAUCCUCCUACCUCAGCUUCCUGAGUAGCUAGGACCACAGGUGUGCACCAACCACACCCGACUAAUUUUUGUAGAGAUGAGAUCCCACUAUGUUACCCAGGCUGGUCUUGAACUCCUGGGCUCAGGUGAUCAUCCUGCCUUGGCUUCCCAAAGUACUGGGAUUAUAGGCUUGAGCCACCGUGCCUGGCCUGUGAUCAGAAUUCUCAUUUUUUUAGUCACUAAAAAUGCUGGGGGGCACUCCAUUCUCCAUUAUGUGAUUAGUUCACAUUGCAUGCUUGUAUCAAAACAUCAUAUAUACCCCACAAAUAUAUACAAAAAACUUUAAAAUUUUAAGUAUUAAUUGCUCAGGAAAAAAUUAAAAUGCUGGGGUGCUGAAAUCUCAAGGGCCCCAUUACAAAACUCCUUAGGAACCUCGCCCUCUCUCUGCUGUAAGGACUGGUUCCAGAAUGAGAGAAUUUAAAAGACAUUCCCCCCCCAAAAUGUUCAUAAUGUCACCCCGGAAACCUGCGAAUAUGUUAUAUUACAUGACCAGGGAGAAGUAAGGUUGCAGAUGGCAGUAAGGUUGCUAAUGGGCUGACCUUAAGAUAAGGAGAUGAUCCUGGAUUAUCUGGGUGGACCCAAUGUAAUCACAAGGGUCCUUAACUGUGGAAUAGUGAGGUGGCUGAGUCAGAGGCAGAGUGAUGCAAUGACUGAAAGACUUAACCAGCCAUCACCGGCUUUGAAUACGGAAGACGGUCAUGAGCCAGGGAAUGCAGGCAGGCUCUGGGAGCUGAAAAAAGCAAGAAAAUGGAUUCUCCCCUGGAGCCUCCAGAAGGGAUGCGGUCCUGCCAACCCCUUGUCAGUGAGCCAUUUCAGAUUUCUGACUUCCAGGACUGUAAGAAAAUAAACUUGUCUUGUUUUCAGCCACCAA
rnacentral:lncRNA from 1 species